rnacentral:rRNA from 1 species
GACGAACGCUGGCGGCGUGCUUAACACAUGCAAGUCGAACGGAAAGGCCCUGCUUGCAGGGUACUCGAGUGGCGAACGGGUGAGUAACACGUGGGUGAUCUGCCCUGCACUUCGGGAUAAGCCUGGGAAACUGUGUCUAAUACCGGAUAGGAGCCAUUUUUAGUGUGAUGGUUGGAAAGUUUUUUCGGUGUAGGAUGAGCUCGCGGCCUAUCAGCUUGUUGGUGGGGUAAUGGCCUACCAAGGCGGCGGCGGGUAGCCGGCCUGGGAGGGUGGACGGCCACCUUUGGGCUGGGAUACGGCCCAGACUCCUACGGGGGGCCACAGUGGGGAAUAUUGCCCCAUGGGCGCGAGCCUGAUGCAGCGACGCCGCGUGGGGGAUGACGGCCUUCGGGUUGUAAACUCCUUUCGCUAGGGACGAAGCUUUUUGUGACGGUACCUAGAUAAGAAGCACCGGCUAACUACGUG